rfam:Naegleria gruberi genomic scaffold NAEGRscaffold_12, whole genome shotgun sequence.
UCCCCCUUAGCUCAGUCGGUAGAGCGUCAGACUGUUAAUCUGCAGGUCGGUGGUUCGAGCCCACCAGGGGGAG